AGUGAACGCUGGCGGUAGGCCUAACACAUGCAAGUCGAACGGCAGCACAGUAAGAGCUUGCUCUUACGGGUGGCGAGUGGCGGACGGGUGAGGAAUACAUCGGAAUCUACUUUUUCGUGGGGGAUAACGUAGGGAAACUUACGCUAAUACCGCAUACGACCUACGGGUGAAAGCAGGGGAUCUUCGGACCUUGCGCGAUUGAAUGAGCCGAUGUCGGAUUAGCUAGUUGGCGGGGUAAAGGCCCACCAAGGCGACGAUCCGUAGCUGGUCUGAGAGGAUGAUCAGCCACACUGGAACUGAGACAAGGUCCAGACUCCUACGGGAGGCAGCAGUGGGGAAUAUUGGACAAUGGGCGCAAGCCUGAUCCAGCCAUACCGCGUGGGUGAAGAAGGCCUUCGGGUUGUAAAGCCCUUUUGUUGGGAAAGAAAAGCAGCAGGUUAAUACCCCGCUGUUCUGACGGUACCUAAAGAAUAAGCACCGGCUAACUUCGUG
rnacentral:rRNA from 1 species